rnacentral:misc_RNA from 1 species
GAUGAAGAACGUAGCGAAAUGCGAUAAGUAAUGUGAAUUGCAUAAUUCAGUGAAUCAUCGAAUCUUUGAACGCACAUUGCGCCCGCCAGUAUUCUGGCGGGCAUGCCUGUUCGAGCGUCAUUUCAACCAUCAAGCCCCAGGCUUGUGUUGGGGACCUGCGGCUGCCGCAGGCCCUGAAAACCAGUGGCGGGCUCGCUGUCACACCGGGCGUAGUAGAUUUUAUCUCGCUCAGGGCGUGCUGCGGGUUCCGGCCGUUAAAAAGCCUUUUUUACCCAAGGUUGACCUCGGAUCAGGUAGGAAGACCCGCUGAACUUAAGCAUAUCAAUAAGCGGAGGA